rnacentral:rRNA from 1 species
GGUUAAGCGACUAAGCGUACACGGUGGAUGCCCUGGCAGUCAGAGGCGAUGAAGGGCGUGCUAAUCUGCGAUAAGCGCCGGUAAGGUGAUAUGAACCGUUAUAACCGGCGAUACCCGAAUGGGGAAACCCAGUGUGACUCGUCACACUAUCAUUAACUGAAUCCAUAGGUUAAUGAGGCGAACCGGGGGAACUGAAACAUCUAAGUACCCCGAGGAAAAGAAAUCAACCGAGAUUCCCCCAGUAGCGGCGAGCGAACGGGGAGGAGCCCAGAGCCUGAAUCAGCAUGUGUGUUAGUGGAAGCGUCUGGAAAGGCGCGCGAUACAGGGUGACAGCCCCGUACACAAAAGCGCAUGUGCUGUGAGCUCGAUGAGUAGGGCGGGACACGUGGUAUCCUGUCUGAAUAUGGGGGGACCAUCCUCCAAGGCUAAAUACUCCUGACUGACCGAUAGUGAACCAGUACCGUGAGGGAAAGGCGAAAAGAACCCCGGCGAGGGGAGUGAAAAAGAACCUGAAACCGUGUACGUACAAGCAGUGGGAGCCCCACCACCAAAGCAUUUGCUGUACCGCGUUGACGGAGCGAAGCGACGUCAAACCGAUAAAACAGCAGUGUAAAGUGAGCCGCAGGGCGCUUUGCGCGACAGCGCAAAGGCAGGCGGUUUCGCGUAGCGAAAGCGAAUGCUUUGGGGUGGGGUGACUGCGUACCUUUUGUAUAAUGGGUCAGCGACUUAUAUUCUGUAGCAAGGUUAACCGAAUAGGGGAGCCGGAGGGAAACCGAGUCUUAAUUGGGCGUUAAGUUGCAGGGUAUAGACCCGAAACCCGGUGAUCUAGCCAUGGGCAGGUUGAAGG